AACAACAAGUCAUGUAACCAGAGUCCCUACUUUUGGAGAGAGGGGAAUAACAGAUACUAAAAAACAAGCAAAUGAAUAUUAUCAACUGGAUGCUAAGUGAUAUAAAGAACAGUAAGAAAGACAGCCAGGGAGUAGAGGAUAAAAAUGUGGAGUUCCAGAAGGGUGUGAUGGAAGAGCAGAAGCUUUAGACUAACUACGUGACUACCAUACUGGGACUCAACUGCCCCAUCUAUAAAGGAUAUUCAUUAACAUCACAUGGCAGAAUGAAAUCACUUAUUUGUGAUAGUUCAAGCAGUCUUCGCUGUCCAAAAUAUCCACAGUAAUGACCACUGAAGGCAUGCCAGAGCCUGAGGAGAGGCAAAGAAAGUGGAAUUCAGUGGAAGUUAUUCUGUUUAUAAGAUCAUUUAUAUGGAUUUUCACUGGUCCAAGAGGGAUUUGAAGCUUGAUUCUAGGACUCUUUCUAUUAAAUACA